UGCUCUUCCUUUGAUGAAAGAUGCUCUCCAGUUCUGAUAUAUCUGUUGCUAUAGCAACUGUGCUAACCUCUCGAGGAGCUGCCAUUGUUGCUUUCAAACAAACAGUUGCUUCGCUUUUCUGUCGUCACAGCUAAAGUAGUUCCUCAUAGGAGGCUGAUUGUCAAACCACUGCAGUUCAGCCACAAGCGCACAGAUCACAGUCAUGUGAUCUUGCAAAUCCAGCUGCUUCACAAUGUAACCACGCCAAUGACACAAGUGGAAAGGUUGACCUGACAUGGUGGAUAUAAAGUCAGGGGAUCAACAGAGUCAUCAGGAUUCAUCCGCUGAGGAGUGCUGAUAUCAUUGCCAAAGUUCAUAGUGAUUCAUCCGAUAGUUGGGGUUGGAUCGCAGUAGCAGCAGGCUAAGCAGGGCAGUCCAGACGUCUUCAUGCUUCCCAGCUCCUGCUGGGAUGAGGAAACCAUGCUGCUUGCGUAGAUGAAAAACAAUGUUCGAACAAACGUAUUAGACGUCCAAAAACCUUUCCAAGCGCCAUUUAUUUAAUCUGAGAACAACAUCAUUUUCUCUGAUUGAUUAAGAAUAAUACAAAACAUAAUGUUUCAGCGAGGAAAUGACACAUCAGGCACUAAUCAGCGAGGAAAUGCACAAUGGGAGUCAUACAAUGACACCAACAUACCGUACAAUCUGGUAUGCAUAAUAACAAAUAAAUGGGAUUUAACAUUA